rnacentral:ncRNA from 1 species
UAUAGUUAUUAGACCCCCUAAUAAUUCCAGUAUUUCGGAUAUUUUAUCCAAGUAUUACUUAUCAGUAUUCAUAUGUUUGACAUAUAAAUAUAAGUGUGUUAUAUAAUUUAUCUUAAAGAUAUAUAUAUAUAUUAGUCUUUAAAUAUUAAAAUAAUUAUUGAUUAUAACUUUAGCAAAAAGAUUAAGGUAUGACUAAAAUUGUGCCAGCAGUCGCGGUUACACAAUUAUAUCUAUUGAUUAUUUUUAGUAAAUAUUAAAUUUAAUUUUAUGUUAAAAAUUUAUUAUUAUUUAGUGGAAUAUUUAAUUUUAAUUCAAGACUUAAAUUUUAUAAUAUAUGAAUGCCAUGUUUUAGACUAGGAUUAGAUACCCUAUUAUUGUGGUAGUAAAACUUAUUACUAAAUUAUUAAUAGAUUUGUUCUUUAAAUUUAAAGGAUUUGGCGGUAAUUUAUCUAUUCAGAGGAACCUGCCCUUUAAUUGAUAAACCACAAGUAAUUUUACUUUUAUUUUUGCUUAUAUACCUCUAUCAUUGAAUAUCUUUAGAAAGAAUGAUUUUCUAAUAGAUUUUUUAAUCUUAAUGUUAGGUCAAGGUUUAGUAAUAUAAAAGUCUGUGGUGGGUUACAAUUUUUAUAUAAGAGGAUAUGUUUAAUGGAUAUAACUUUGAAUUUGGAUUUGAUAGUAAAAGUUUUUUGGUUAAAACUUUGAUUUUGUAAUAAAUUAAGCACAUAUCGCCCGUCGCUCUCAUGGACUGAGAUAAGUCGUAACAAAGUAGAGUCACCGGAAGGUUACCCUAGAUAACUC